rnacentral:rRNA from 1 species
UACAGGGGGUGCAAACGUUGCUCGGAAUCAUUGGGCGUAAAGCGCACGUAGGCGGUCUGUUAUGUCGGAUGUGAAAGCCCUUGGCUCAACUGAGGAAGUGCAUCCGAAACUGGCAGGCUAGAGUACUAAAGAGGGUCGCGGAAUUCCCGGUGUAGAGGUGAAAUUCGUAGAUAUCGGGAGGAACACCGGUGGCGAAGGCGGCGACCUGGGUAGAUACUGACGCUGAGGUGCGAAAAGCGUGGGGAGCAAACAGGG